CCUGUCCUUACUUUCACUGUGCCUUUUAUUCCUCAAAAACAGGAAAGAUGUGACGUGGAGAGGCUUCCUGCUGCUGUGGACUCCCGAAUCCUGCUUCAGUCUCUGGACUUUUAGGCUUGGACCCAGGUUUCUCCUCAACUUUGGAGAACCCUUAUCAUUUCUGGACUCUACACAUCACAGUUUUUUUUUAUGCUGAGGCUUUGGAUUUCCACCUUUUUAUAUCCGUCUUUAUUUGGACCUAUAUUCAAACUCUUAGUGGCUCAGUGUUUUGUCGCUCUCCACAUUUUGUCCAUUUUCUUGUUCUUCAUAGCACCUGCUUCUGGACACUGGACACAUGUUACUUUAGCUUCCAAAUGGAGUAGGUUUUUGUUUUGUUUUUUAAAGUGGAACUGCAUUUUGCACUCAAGAAAGAUGAAGCUCUUCCUGCUUCUCGUUAUUGCAGCGACUGUCCAGUCAGACAAUAAGAAAGGGUCUGGCGUCUGUCAGUCUGAGGACCUGAUCGAGACCCAGGGGCUCUGCACUUCCUGCGCCGCUCGAUACACAUGUCCCUCCAGGCAAUCGGCCCUCAGGACAGAGAACUGCAC
rnacentral:lncRNA from 1 species